rnacentral:rRNA from 1 species
CCUGGUUGAUUCUGCCAGUAGUCAUAUGCUUGUCUUAAAGAUUAAGCCAUGCAUGUCUAAGUAUAAGCAAUUAUACAGCGAAACUGCGAAUGGCUCAUUAAAUCAGUUAUCGUUUAUUUGAUAGUACCUUACUACAUGGAUAACCGUGGUAAUUCUAGAGCUAAUACAUGCUAAAAACCCCGACUUCGGAAGGGGUGUAUUUAUUAGAUUAAAAACCAAUGCCCUUCGGGGCUCACUGGUGAUUCAUGAUAACUUCUCGAAUCGCACGGCCUUGCGCCGGCGAUGGUUCAUUCAAAUUUCUGCCCUAUCAACUUUCGACGGCUGGGUCUUGGCCAGCCGUGGUGACAACGGGUAACGGAGGGUUAGGGCUCGACCCCGGAGAAAACGCCUGAGAAACGGCGUUUACAUCCAAGGAAGGCAGCAGGCGCGCAAAUUACCCAAUGCCGACACGGCGAGGUAGUGACGAGAAAUACUGAUACAGGGCUCUUUUGGGUCUUGUAAUUGGAAUGAGUACAAUUUAAAUCUCUUAACGAGGAACAAUUGGAGGGCAAGUCUGGUGCCAGCAGCCGCGGUAAUUCCAGCUCCAAUAGCGUAUAUUAAAGUUGUUGCAGUUAAAAAGCUCGUAGUUGAACCUUGGGCCUGGCUGGCCGGUCCGCCUCACCGCGUGCACUGGUCCGGCCGGGCCUUUCCCUCUGGGGAACCGCAUGCCCUUCACUGGGCGUGUCGGGGAACCAGGACUUUUACUUUGAAAAAAUUAGAGUGUUCAAAGCAGGCCUAUGCUCGAAUACAUUAGCAUGGAAUAAUAGAAUAGGACGUGUGGUUCUAUUUUGUUGGUUUCUAGGACCGCCGUAAUGAUUAAUAGGGACAGUCGGGGGCAUCAGUAUUCAAUUGUCAGAGGUGAAAUUCUUGGAUUUAUUGAAGACUAACUACUGCGAAAGCAUUUGCCAAGGAUGUUUUCAUUAAUCAGGAACGAAAGUUAGGGGAUCGAAGAAGAUCAGAUACCGUCGUAGUCUUAACCAUAACUAUGCCGACUAGGGAUCGGAC